GAAGUUGGAUUCGCUAGUAAUCGCGCAUCAGCCAUGGCGCGGUGAAUACGUUCCCGGGCCUUGUACACACCGCCCGUCAAGCCAUGGGAGCCGGGGGUGCCUGAAGUUCGUGACCGAAAGGAGCGACCUAGGGCAAAACCGAUGACUGGGGCUAAGUCGUAACAAGGUAAC
rnacentral:rRNA from 1 species